UUAACUAAAAUUUGUAUUGAGUUGGAACGUAAGCCUACGUUUGCCGAUAGGGGCGCUAUUCCAACUGCAUAAAAAUUUAAGUUA
rnacentral:pre_miRNA from 1 species